UGGUGUGUAAAACUAACACUAUAACCAGGCAAUGGCAAUCAAUAGAAGAGUUGGAAAUAAGGUUAUAAUGACGUUCACUGGAAAUGCUUAGCUGUUAAUGUUAGAUUAGGAAGUCAACGUCUAAAACUGAUAAACACGGAGUUCGCUGCUCAGGCACAUUAAUUAAUUAACCUCCGGAGAAGAGAGGUGUGUGGUCAGGACCUAACCUCCGGUACAGCCCCACCCCAAAAGGACUGGUUGACCACGGAACCGGGGCUGGGGAAGGAGGGAAUCUUCCCACAACUCUGUUUAUAUUAUUAGCCCAUUCGUAUUCUCUUUCGUGAGAAGUCAGAGAAUUUUCUUCACCUCAUCUACCUGAAGACCUGAAGACUGAGUGACUCGCAAGCCUGAGUAUCGAGUUUCAGUGUGACUUGGAAUUGCUGGAAACAGGCUGAGCUGCUUGAAGUUCAAAGUGAAGCACAGAUGAUCUGUGUUUCCAGCUACUAUGGACAGUCCUACAAAGCUGUAAAAUUCUCAAUGCUCUAAUCACAGCACCAGGGGAGAUGCAAAGACUGGAGUGCAGAAAAAGAUUCGUGACUUCUCCAAACUCACAAAGCUAAGCUGCUAAGCCAGACCAACUUCUGACUCAAAAUGCAGUCUUCAUUUAGCACACUUUCACGCCUGGCCCCGUCCAGCCGUUCUCUGCUCCUUGCUCUAAUAUCUUAUUCUCUUGUGUCCUUAAAUUUGACAUUCUGGCACAGUUUUCAGGAGAAAGGAGUAAUGGCCAUGGUGACUGUUUCAAAUAGGGGAGAGGCAAAGCAGGAACUCCUGAGCGCUUUGUGAAUCCCCAGUGGAAAACUGAGAUAAAACUAAAAACUAACAAAUGCGUCCACAGGCAAUGCAGGCAAUGUUGUGAGCACU